rnacentral:lncRNA from 1 species
GAAGAUAUGAGUUACUGACUCCAAAAGGAAGAGGUCACUUACUGACCCUAACAGGAAGAGGUCCCCAAUAGGAAGAGACCUACCUUGCACUCCCCAACAGGAAGUGCAACUACUUUGCUGCUCCAGCAGGAGGAAGGAUGACUUCCUUCUUGCUCAGCAACAAGCUCAGCCAAUGAGAAGCCAUCAUCACCUGAGCAUUUACUUUCCCUCAAUGAACUUUCAUCUCUUCCUUGCUGAUGACUUCCUUUCCUUGUCUCACCCUCCGUACUAUAAAAACCUUUCAGGUGGUGUAACCCCUCAGAACAUCUCUCGGCUUGCCAGAUGAGAUGCUGCCCAAUUCAAGAAUCAGUUAACAGAACCAAUUAAAUCUUCAAAUUUACUCAGUUGAAUUUUGUUUCUUAACAUCUUACAUAUGAAGCAGUAUCAUAUUUGUUGGUGGACUCAGAUUAUUUUAACGUAUAUCGUGAGCUCUAGGGCAACUACCCAAAAAGGUUUUUUAAAAAAGAUUUAAUAGUAAGACAAUAGAAGAGAUAAAAUGGAAUAAUAAAAAAUGCUGAAUUAACCUGAAGAAGGCAGAAAAAGAAGGAAAAUAAAAAAAGAACAAAUGUGGCAAAUAUAAAACGGCUAGCAAGAUAACAGUUCUAAACACAUCAGUUAAAGACAGAUUGUCAGAAUGGAAGAAGCAGCGAUACACAACUAUAUGCUGUCUGUAAGGAGCCUGCGUGUACCCUUCUUGUCCCAUAAGAGGCUCCAUAUUUUCCUCCACCUGUCCCACAGGGGACACAUACAGCAGUGGGGGUGGCCAGGUGCCAUAUGACACACCUGCUUUAAUAGAACAAGGAGCAUUGGCUGCGUCUGAAACAGGGAAAGACAAGGUGACAAGUCCAGCACAGGCUGUGUGGCCCCUCAUCUCUCAGGGAGGAAGUGCUCCAGGCCCAUGGCCCACCCUCACGUGCCCGAGGAGGAGUCUGAAGUCAUCCUCUCCCAACAGCAUGUCCUCAGACCAUAGCGGAAUUAGACUUGAAAUCAAUAACGUGAAGAUACCCGACCUAGCUGGAAAUCGAACAACCGACCUCUAAACAACCCGUGCAUCCAAGAGGGAGUCUCAAUGGGAAAUGUAAAAAUAUUCUGAACUAAGGGAAAAUGAAAAUGCAUCGUAUCAGAAUCUGUGGGACACACCUAGGGAGCGCUGCUGGGACCUUCACAGCACUGACGCACGUGUCAGCAGAGAAAGACUCUGAUCGAUACGUAAACUUCUCCCCCAGGAAAACCAGGGAAAGAAGAGCUUUUGAUUAAAGCAAAUGCAAGCAGGAGGAGGGAAAUAAUGACUCGAGUAGAAACCGACGGAGUUGAAGACAGAAAAGUAGACAAUAUCAAUGAAGCCAAAGGCUGGUUCCAUGAACAAUCUGCACAGCUAGUGGACAUGUCGCCAGACUGACUGAGAGAAACGGAGAGAAGACACCAUGACCAGGCCCAGAAAUGAAAGCACGCCGUUGACGCUGAUCCACAGACAAUAGAAGGAGAGUAAGGAGACACUAUGAACAACUCUGUGCCCCUUAGAAAUCAGAUGAUGCUGCUCAGUGUCAGUGUGUUGUUGUCUUUCUUUGAAGAGUGUUGACGUUUGUCUCGGCAGCAGGUAAAUCUUGCAAACCAUUUGGACUUUUUACAGCUUGUUUUCUCGUCCUUGAUAGGGGACGUCUAGAGCUGCCUUCACCUCUGGGAUAAUCAGCCCUACUAAGGGAGGGUGACCCGGGCCUACCCUGGGUGCCCAGAACAGUCACCAUGUCUCCACGCUUGCUGGUCAGUCUCAAAUGGCUCUCAGUCCUGGUCGAGUCUGGCUCUUCAACUGACAACCUCACAGUCCUGCCCGGGUCCGCGUGUCUGUGGAGUCUCCCUCAUGGCAGGCACGGUCUACGCUCAGGAAGGACUCUGUGGCCCACUGUGUGUCCCUGCGGGUUCCCUUUUCCUGAAGCUGCUGCUUCUCUGGGACUCCUCCUUGCCACCACCACCGCCUGAUCCCCCUGAACUGAGUUCUCUCCCCAGAACUCGGGGCCAUCGGGCCCUUUCGAGGUUCCCUCCGGCACCCACAGCUCUCUGGCUCCAGGAAGACAGCUGGGGUGACACAGGGCUGCGCUCCAGUCCCCCUGCACUGCCUGUGGCCAUGACGGAGCUGUUUAGGGUGGGAGCUUUUGUCCCCUCAUUGUUACUCCAUUGUGACCAGAAGCAGAAGUCCAGUGGCUUCUUUUGAGGACCGAAAACCAUGAGUCUUCACUCUCUCUAAAUGGCUUUCUCCCUCAAUCCCUUUCACCUUAAAAGUUUGCAUUUCUAGAUUCUACAGGGAGUUUGAAACAUUACAAAUCUACUCAUCACGUCCACAUGACGGUUUGUGAAUUCUUUGAGCUUAAAAUAUUAAAAUCCAGUCGAUUUGAUAUUGAGGAAAAUGGACAAUUAGUCAAGACACUGUAUAAGCCAGUAGAUAUUUGUCCUAAAUCACAAAGACUGCUAACUGAUUUCGAGGCAAUAUGCCAGUAGUGGCAAAUGAUAGCCUGGAAUAGUGUUUUGUGUGUGUGUAUAGAAUGGAAAUUCAAUGAGUGUCUUAACGGUAACCUCUCCCAUGUACAAGAGAUUCACCAUUUCGUAUAUUCUCUUAAAGGCGGGGAACAGAUUCACGAUACGUUUGUCUUCAUGCUUUCCUCCCACCCCUUUCCCACUGAGAGGUCAGAGCAGUGACUGGAGAGACAACAGACUCAUUCUCCCCCCGAAAACCUGUCAGGUACCCCGUUGGCCCAGGAUCUGCACAGCUGCUUUAGGAUGCUGAGAGGGAUGUUUCCGAGGUGACUGUUUCAGCUGCCAUCUGCUCUGAGCUGUGGAGGCCGAAAUACCUGUCAAUAAAGCGACUUUGGGACUUUCUAUUACAAUCUAUUUGAAGCUUGGGAUCUUCAAGCACUUUUGUCUUAAGUGAAAAUAUUUAAACUCCCACUCGUCCUAAGACCCCAUCACCCCCACAGCUGCUACCUGCAGGUGAGGCUGGCUGUCCGAGAGUGGUGUCUGUGGGCUGCGCAAAGGAGGCUCUUUUCGUUUUCCGAGACGUGGAGGCUGCGACGCUGAGGCCUGGCGCGGGCAGGUGUCCGCUGUUGCCCAGAGGAGCGGUGACGGCGGGAGGCACCUUUUCUGCAGGAGGAGAACAUCAGGCAGUGAUGGAAAGAGAGGAAGCACGAUCCGUGUGCAGCUGGUUUCCAAUGAGAUGCCCAAGCUCAGCGACGACUCGUCCCCUCCAUCUGCUCAUCAUCCAUUUUCAGAGGAAGCAGGUCAAAGAGCACGGUCCACUCGGGGCCUCCCGAAGGACCCUGGAUGGUGGAAAACAACACUAUCUUUCUUGUUUUCCCAGCAGAGAACUCAUAGGUCAUAAAAGUCCCCCAAGUCACAAAGUUAAAAAGUUAUAGAGCUACCAUGGGCCCCCGGAUUGUCUGCACAGGGUCAGGUGGAGGCAUUCAGUGGCACUCAGAAAGAUAGGUGAGAAACCAAGUGAAUGAGUCUGUGGAUGGAAGAGCAUUUCCAAGAGAAGGAAUUCAACCUUAAGACUGUAGCAGAGAGACCCUGUCUGGUUUCCUGUCUGACAUCCUGCCCUCUCUCAUGUUCCACCCACCCCCGACCUGGUCUGGUGAUGGCUACAGGGAGCCUGGGCCUUGGAAACACUCCUUAGUCCAUGGACUCUUUCCACCAGCUACCCAGUCUUUUCUCUUAAGGCCUUCAACUGAUUGGACGAGGCCCGCCAGCAUUAUUAAGAGUGAUCUGCCUUACUCAAAGUCCACCAAUUUCAAUGUUGAUCUCAUCUGAAAAAAUACCUUCACAACAACAUCUAGAUUGGUAUUGGACCAAAGAAUUGGACACCAUGACCUGGCCGAGUUGACACACAAAAUUACCAUCAUCUAUGCGUACAAGAUGUUAUUGAAAUUGCCUGCUCGCUUUUCCUGAACAUUGGAGAGCUGUCGUAACUGCUCCAGCAACUUUGAUGCCCCGAAAUGGAGGGGUGGGUGGUUGCCGGGACUGCUUUGCACAUUUUGACGCACAGGGGCCGCUGUCUCAAAGGUGGAAGCAGUGAGAAGGCGCAGGAGCAGGUCUCUGUGGGCAUCCCCAGGGCGGUCCUGGACUGGCGUGCCAAGGUCAAGUUCAUCCACCCCAUGAGGAAGGCUCUGGACUAGGCUGCCGUGAGGUUAGUGGCCCAGGGCCACCGAGAUCAGACAGCACUGGCCCCAGAGGUCCAACUGGGGACCCAGGGCACUGAGGCAUCUUCUGCACCUCUCCCAGCCCUCUGCCCCCUGUGCUCUGGCUCCUCUAGAAGCAUGUCCUGAAUCAGCCUUUUUUCCAGAUCUUCUUGGUUCUGGCUUCCUCUCCCGGGGAGAAAGAGCGCCCAGGUCAUUGCCACCCCUCUGAGCACCCUCCCUGGAGCCAUCUUGGGGUGUGGGCUCCCCCAGACUGAGGAGGCAGCACAGCCUGGCCCCCAGCCAUCCUGGUCAGCACAGAUGAACUUCUUCACCUGCCCACAUGCCCCCAGGAGUGUCGCAUGCCGCUUUUCUCCGCCUCUUUGGAAAAGUGCGCCUGGCCUCCCGGACCUGAGCUGCAUCAGGCUGGAGCGAGGGGAGGAGACCCAGCAACCACUCAGUGUGGUGACAGACGCGGGACACCCAGUCUGCACGACCCCUUCAACUGCAUCCACCAAGCCAAGAAAGACAGAACCGAUGUCCCCUGAGAAACAGUCGAGGGGUGUUCUGGAGCCCCUGCAGCCCCGGGCGUAAUGCCCUUGACUUGGACAUGCGAUGAUGUGAGUCAGAAGCUUCCUCGUCACCGGGUCCCAACAGAACCUUGGAAAAUCGUUGCCCGAAGUGCAGACUCUACUAGCUGUUUUAAUAUUGUAUAUGUGCAAGAAACUAAAGAAAAACCGUGAUGACCAGCUUAGAUACAAGUGAAAUUCCAUCCUUGAGGGUCUUCACAGCCCACUUUUGCAAGCCUGUACUCAGUGUGUGCCCGGGUUUGCCUUUUUCUGCUCGAACAUCUGAGUGUGCGCAUGUUUUGGUGGGGGGCGCAGGCACGCCCUAGCUGCUUUCUCAAGAGCACUUUUAGGAACUUGAACUCUUAACCGUUGGAGCCAAUGUAGGCACCGGUAUUAGGCUCUUUGAUUUUAAAAAGGUCCUUAUGUUGGGAGUCUUGUGUUCUGAAACGUUCAUUCCAG